rnacentral:rRNA from 1 species
GAUGGAGCAACGCCGCGUGAGUGANGAAGGNUUUCGGAUCGUAAAACUCUGUUGUAAGGGAAGAACACGUACGAGAGUAACUGCUCGUACCUUGACGGUACCUUAUUAGAAAGCCACGGCUAACUACNUGCCAGCAGCCGCGGUAAUACGUAGGUGGCAAGCGUUGUCCGGAAUUAUUGG